UGGGGAAUCUUGCACAAUGGAGGAAACUCUGAUGCAGCGACGCCGCGUGAGUGAUGAAGCCCUUCGGGGUGUAAAGCUCUUUCGACAGGAACGAUAAUGACGGUACCUGAAGAAGAAGCUGCGGCUAACUACGUGCCAGCAGCCGCGGUAAUACGUAGGCAGCAAGCGUUGUUCGGAAUUACUGGGCGUAAAGAGUGUGUAGGCGGUGCUCUAAGUUUGGUGUGAAAUCUCCCGGCUUAACCGGGAGGCUGCAUCGAAUACUGGAGUGCUAGAGGGUUGGAGAGGUAAGCGGAAUUCCUGGUGUAGCGGUGAAAUGCGUAGAUAUCAGGAGGAACACCUGUGGUGUAGACAGCUUACUGGACAAUUUCUGACGCUGAGACACGAAAGCGUGGGUAGCAAAC
rnacentral:rRNA from 1 species